rnacentral:rRNA from 1 species
UCGGGAAUUUUGUGCAAUGGGCGAAAGCCUGACCCAGCAACGCCGCGUGAAGGAUGAAGUAUUUCGGUAUGUAAACUUCGAAAGAAUAGGAAGAAUAAAUGACGGUACUAUUUGUAAGGUCCGGCUAACUACGUGCCAGCAGCCGCGGUAAUACGUAGGGACCAAGCGUUGUUCGGAUUUACUGGGCGUAAAGGGCGCGUAGGCGGUGUGUCAAGUCAGUUGUGAAAUCUCCGAGCUUAACUCGGAACGGUCAACUGAUACUGUCACACUAGAGUACAGAAGGGGCAAUCGGAAUUCUUGGUGUAGCGGUGAAAUGCGUAGAUAUCAAGAGGAACACCUGAGGCGAAGGCGGGUUGCUGGGCUGAUACUGACGCUGAGAUGCGAAAGCGUGGGGAGCAAACAGGAUUAGAUACCCUUGUAGUCCCUGAGCGGGCUGGCAAGGCGCAU